CAGGAAGCUCAAAGGGGUGAGUCAGAAAUGAAAAUUGAAGGAAGUCUCCGCAUUCAGCCGUGGGGUAAGCCUCUCGUCUUAGUCAGACUCCGAGGAGAAGGGAAGCUCCAGAGGGAGCUGAACGAGUCUAUGGCAGCAAAUCCUUCCUGCUGAUGAGGCAGAACACAGGAAGCUGUGGCUCAGACUCUGCUGGUCUCAACACAAAUUGGAAUAAAUACCCUAAAACAUAUGUGGAGCACUGACCCUCGGUGCGGCUGUGUGUCACCAUAGAGCAGAGAUAACAAUGACUCGACUUGUUCACAUACGAAAAUAGCUCGCUUGUCAGAGCUGCAUGGGGACUGGUGCCACGGAAAUUCUGUGAGCAGAAGAACAGUUCAGAUCAGAGAAUUUUCUUUGGGUUUGGAGUGCUCCCUGGUCGUGGUCGUCUCCAGUCCACACCCCAUCCUGGGGAGGGAAGGUUCUGGAUUUGGAGUGGGGUGCCCAGCUGCCAGACACGCUCUAGCACGCAGAUUUUCAGAACAUGGUGAUGAGUUGGUACAACAACACGAGCAAAGUUCCAGCCCACAGCACAUCCCUGUGAAGCUGUCAGAUGGAGGAUGUGGCACCUUGACUCGGCCACCCGUGGAAGCAAACAACGCCAGGAGUGACCCACCGACGCAUGAUCCUGCUCUUGGGAAGUUGGACCUCCGUACACACAGUCCCUUUGGAAGUCUCGUGAUUACCUGGAGAAGCACUGCAACUCGAGAGCUGGAGGCAGCAGUUGAGAAGUCAGACACUUUUAAACCCGGGCAUUUCCCAUCUUUUUCAUCGGAAUCUCUAAGAGCCUGGAAAGUGCUUUUUCCUGGCAUUGUAAGGGGGCAGGGAUCCCCUUGACAUUGGCCUGUGUUACUCAGGAUAUAGCUCAAGAUCCAGAGGAUGGGCCUCCUGAUAAGAUUCACAUGGUAAUCAUAGAAAAUCAGGCUGAACGCCUAGCGUAGAAUCAGGAAGAUUACGAGAUGAAUGGACUGAUGUGAAUAUGAAACAUUGCCUGUUCUUCAAAGUGAGAAAGAAGAAAAGAAAGAUACUGUGAGUGGAAUGAGAACUUGAUAGCAAACUAGAGCUACAGCCUUGGAGAAGAUGGACGAUAGAAUGGAAUCUGUUAGACACACGCUCAUGGAGACUAGCAUUUGCCAGGGGCCCACUGUGUGCCAAGUUCUGCACUUGGACUUCAUACUCUAUCAUACUCUGCAGGUACACCUGCAAUGGAUUUUCAGUAAACCCUCUUUGGUUGAACGAGCAAAGCUUCAUCUUCUCCCCUCCAUGUGAAGUACUGUGGCCUGAGCCCAUCAUGUGCAGCCAGCAAGUGUGACCGACUUUGCAGGGGAAACUGGAGUUGAUUGUGCACACGUGCAGGAGGGGCCUUUGCUGGCAUUUAAUGUUCACUUUUGCAGUUGGAGUUUUCUGAAGCCAAAAUAGCAUUUAAAGUGAGUUAACCUGUCACCUGAUCCUUUAAGUCACUCAAAUAUUGAUUUAGUUCUUGUUUUCUUAUCAAGACAUCCAAAUAUUGGACAAAGACAGAUCUAAAUGUCAGAAAUCAUUCCAAAAUACUUAUAUACUUUUGAAUACAUUUUUAGUAUCAACUUAGCUUUUUUUCACAAGAUAUUUUUACAUGUUGUACAUAGAGACGAGUAGAUGUAGAGAUUGAAAAGCGAGAUUAUACAUUCCAUUCAACCACUCUCACGGAGGAGCUAAAUACGUCAAGAUGCGAGGUUCAGGAGGAGAUUACUGCCCUCAUGAAGGCCAUGUACUAGUGCACCAAGCAGCGAUUCUGUCCUUGUGCAUUAUCCUGAACGUAUUCAGGGAAAUGUGAAAUUCAACUGCCUGAAAACCAAAGAAAUUGCAAAUUUGUGAUGACUAUAACUAAUCUCUCUCUACUCCUAGUGAAAUGAUGCCUGUAAAGAACUUAACAGAGUGACUGACACAUAAUAAGUAUUCAAUAAUCAUUAUCUACCUUUCCCCUAAUGAUUGAGAAGAGAAUUAAUCAACUAUUUAUAAUGAAGUGGCGUGGAUGGGAAAUUGUUACUAGAAACUUCCAUCUAGCCAGAAGGACCCAAGCUGUUAUUGUGCUUUAAUUGAAUUUAUCAGAUAACUGUUUAAUUCAUUAACUUUACUUCCCCUGCAUGAACACAGAGCUAACUAUAUUGUGAAGGAAAUAAAAUGAAAGAGAAACAAAGAAAACCUUAAAAUAUAAAAUGUUGAAACUGUUGUGAAAAUUGCGAGGCACCUAAAACAAGAAAGACAACGUUACAAGAAAACACAAAACAUGUAUUAUAAAUGACCGGCUUCUGAGGAUAAUAUAAAGCUUUUACUGUGAUGAUAGACACAUCGGAUUCACAGCAAAUGCAUAGAGAUUGACUGAUAUCAUAUUAAAAGGAAUUGGCUAAUGUGCUUACUGAACGUGGAAUUUUCAAUUAUAAAGAAAGAAGAAUGUGCCAAAAUUCUAGAAGAAAGCAGGUUUGCACAGCAUCCUACAAGAUGGCUUGGCCUUUGCCUGAUGAUCCAGAAGGAAUCUUGUGUUCCCUACCUUACUGAGAGUCUGGCUUAAGGGCACAGGAGCACAAGUAGGGGCCUGCCACGCGGGGAACUCAGCCUCGAGACCUGGCAUUCCAGGAGCUUCUCCGCUCUGCCGGGAAAUUACACAGUUGGAUGGAGACAGGGAAUUGCUCUGCUGUUCCUCAGAAAGGAAGGACAGAGAUGCCAGCAACAACACCUCUUCCAGUGGCAUCUCCAUCUGGUCAGAUAGCUAAACAGUUAUAAAGGAGAACCUUGGUAAACCCCAGUGGGGAGGAUAGAAUUAUGCUCAAUAGGCAGGGUGAGCACAAAAUGCUGAGAACACAUCAUCCCAGACACGCUCAAUCGUUAUUUGUGUUAAAAUUACAAAAACACAAUUGGUUGUGGUAAACUGUAGUUGUUGUAUGUUUAGAAUUAUUGAAGUAAUAAAGAAUUGGCUCUCAGUCUCAUGACAUUUUACUG
ensembl:lncRNA